rnacentral:lncRNA from 1 species
CAGCCUUUGGUGCAGCUGUAAGUCGGAUGGAAUCCACCUUCCUGACGUCAGACCCACCCACUGGAACACUGCUCCUCUGACUGGGGCUUCCCUGAAUGGAAACUACAUGUCAUACUGCAAAAACAACUUCUGAAAGAGAAAAAAGUCUUUGUCUCAGUUUCUGCUCUCCAGAGGUAACCCAAAGAGGUAAGGAACCCAGUGAGAAAGACAGAGAGAAGUAUGGACAAGAAACAGAUCCUAAACCUGUUUUGUUUUAUUUUUGGUAGUAGUUGUUUAUUUUUGAAAACAUUCAAACCACCUGUAUUGGUGGCUGUUAUUAUGAAAUAAAUAAACUGAGAAACAACA